GUGUCAGCAGCCGCGGUAAGACGAAGGAUGCAAGCGUUAUCCGGAUUCAUUGGGUUUAAAGGGUGCGUAGGCGGACUGAUAAGUCAGUGGUGAAAUCUCUUUGCUUAACAAAGAAACUGCCAUUGAUACUGUCGGUCUAGAGUAUAGAUGACGUUGGCGGAAUAUGACAUGUAGUGGUGAAAUACUUAGAUAUGUCAUAGAACACCGAUUGCGAAGGCAGCUAACGAAACUAUAACUGACGCUGAGGCACGAAAGUGCGGGGAUCAAACAGGAUUAGAAACCCGCGUAGUCC
rnacentral:rRNA from 1 species